UAGGUAAUCGUUAAAAAUAAAGAAACAAGAAAACAUUCACCUUUUAUCCUCCUUUUAAAGACUUAGGUUUUCCUCUCUAAAGAUACUUGACUCAAAAAGUCCCCUUCUCAUCUCCCUGCUGGAAACUUCGGCUGGAAAGCAGGAUUGCAGUUGGAAUGCAUUUUGCAGUUAGAGAAGACUAUGGAGACUUUUAGUGAUACAACACUCCAUUAAGAACUUCCUCACCAAACCCAAGGAAGAGAUCAGGCAAGAUUUGUGCUGGGCACAUCCUUUGGAGUGAGGCUGUGCUGGGCAGGUAUUCCCUCUUACUCCUCACUCCGUGA
rnacentral:lncRNA from 1 species